rnacentral:rRNA from 1 species
CCUACGGGUGGCAGCAGUAGGGAAUAUUCCGCAAUGGGGGAAACCCUGACGCAGCAACGCCGCGUGGAGGAUGAAGGUCUUAGGAUUGUAAACUUCUGUUGUGAGAGAAGAUCAUGAGGGUAUGUAACUAAUAACCACCGGCCGACACCUUGUCAGCAGCCGCCGUAAUACGAAGGGUGCAAGCGUUAGGCGGAACCACUGGGGGGAGAGUUAGCGCAGGUGGGUUUGUAAGUAAGAUGUGAAAUCCUAUGGCUUAACUACAGAGGUGCAUUUGAGACUAGACAUCGUGAGUGUGGGAGAGGUAGGUGGAAUUCUAGGUGUAGGGGUAAAAUGCGUAGAUAUAUAGAGGAAUACUCAUGGCGAAGGCGACCUACUGGAACGUUACUGACGCUGAUGCACGAAAGCGUGGGGAGCAAACAGGAUUAGAUACCCCAGUAGUC